rnacentral:miRNA from 13 species
ACAUCCCUUCUGUCUGCACCU